rnacentral:rRNA from 1 species
UACGUAGGGUGCAAGCGUUAUCCGGAAUUAUUGGGCGUAAAGAGCUCGUAGGCGGUUUGUCGCGUCUGCUGUGAAAACUGGAGGCUCAACCUCCAGCCUGCAGUGGGUACGGGCAAACUAGAGUGCGGUAGGGGAGAUUGGAAUUCCUGGUGUAGCGGUGGAAUGCGCAGAUAUCAGGAGGAACACCCGUGGCUAAGGCGGCUCUCUAGUACGGUACUGACGCUGAGACGCGAAAGCGUGGGGAGCAAACAGG